UACGUAGGGCGCAAGCGUUGUCCGGAAUUAUUGGGCGUAAAGAGCUCGUAGGCGGUUUGUCGCGUCUGCUGUGAAAACCUAAGGCUCAACCUUGGGCUUGCAGUGGGUACGGGCAGACUAGAGUGCGGUAGGGGUGACUGGAAUUCCUGGUGUAGCGGUGGAAUGCGCAGAUAUCAGGAGGAACACCGAUGGCGAAGGCAGCCCCCUGGGAUAACACUGACGCUC
rnacentral:rRNA from 1 species